GACGAGGUGGCCGAGCGGUUAAGGCGUUGGACUGCUAAUCCAAUGGGCUCUGCCCGCGUGAGUUCGAAUCUCAUCCUC
rnacentral:tRNA from 1 species